UGCGAACUGCUCUGGCCUUGCUCUUCUUUCCAUCUGUAGCAGUUCUUCUUCAUAUGUCCCUCUAUUCUACAAUGAUGACACUUAUAUGUUGGUUUUCUGCCAUCAGUGGACCUGCCCCUGCUCUUGCUUCUGCCUCUCCAUUUGCUUUUGCUACUCUUUUGUUGCCUCCCCCGGUUCUAUAUGUUGGUUUUCUGCCAUCAGUGGACCUGCCCCUGCUCUUGCUUCUGCCUCUCCAUUUGCUUUUGCUACUCUUUUGUUACCUCCCCCGGUUCUCUGUGACAAAGGCAUGGGUCUGAUCUGUG
rnacentral:lncRNA from 1 species